CAACGUCGGAGUUGAAAGAGGACCAUCACAUCAGUCAAGUAUUUCCCUUCUUUCACAUAGGUGCUAACUGUUGGAUACGUUAUCGCCUAAGCGUGCGUUGUUUAAAUUCACUAUGGCUCCAAAACGUGAGAAUACUGCGUCCGAUGGAAGUGCCACUAGGAGGAGGAAGACUAUAUCAUUGGAGAUGAAAUAUGACAUCGUUAAGCGUUCUUUAAAAGGUGAGAACAACACCGACAUCGGCCGGGCCCUUGGUUUGAGUAGAACUACUGUUCAGACAAUAGUUAAGGCUAAGGAACGUGUCUUACAACAUAUGAAAGGUGGUGCUUCAAUGAUGGCUGGUACACAUUGUAGUACGUAUAGAAUAGGCAAGCAACAUAACACCAACAUUAUAGAGAUGGAGAGGUUAUUGAUGGUCUGGCUCGAAGACCAAAACCAACGAAAUGUCCCGGUGAGCUAUGAUUUGAUUCGGGAGAAGGCUCUGGAGUUGCAUGAGGCAGUAGUAUUGAAGAGGGGGAAAGGUAGUGAAAGUGUAACAUUUGCAGCCAGCAAGGGCUGGUUUCAUCGUUUCAGGUCUCGUGCAAAUUUGCACAAACACCUCAAUGUGAAUGGGGCCUGGGUGAGCCCAAAUUUUGUGAUGGACUUCCCUGGCUUUGAGAAGGGAGAUAGUCUUGAUGCUGUUCAGUAUAGUAUUAAGGUCAAAAUGGAGGUGGAAGCUGAUGUAACAGAGGUGCUGCAAUGCUAUGGAGAGGAGCUGUCAGCAGACUAUCUCUUUGAGCCGAAACAGCAGAUGAUCGAGGACGAGGAGGAUGAAGAGGCACCAUCCCAAAAGGCUCAGUUAUUAAGUCCCAAGAGCUUGUCACAUCCUGUGGCCCAUAUUGGGCAAGGGCUGGCAAUAAGUGAGGAAAAGGAUCCUAAUGUGGAAAGGUCUACAAAGCUUCGGAGAACAAAAAGUCUCAUUCAAUCUACGCUAGAGCUAUACGGCUUUAAGAUAUUAAAGUCUCCAGAACCACCUGCCACUCCUAACGGAGAAGAGAAGUCCCAUCUUGAUAACGCUGAACCUGUCAUGAUUGUACCUGUAGUAUCCCCACCAGCCUCUCCUGGAUUGAGUUGCCACCUUCGAAGUGAUGACCCUUCACUAUAUGACCCACCAGCCUCUCCAACUCUGUCUGAAUUUGGCAGAAUGUUCCUAAGUGAUGACACAGCUUCCCUUGCUGAAUCCUUUGAAGGUUUCCCAGCUCCAUCAACUAAACCCCCUCCAGCUUCAACAGGGUUGAGUCACCACCUUCGAAGUGAUGACCAUUCACCCUGGUCGGUGUUUCCCCGCAUUUUUUGAGUGCCGACCAUUUCCCAAAAAUUUUCAAGUACAAAAUAUGACACAUUCUCCGAGUUAAGGAUUUAUGAGUAUACCAUAGAUUUGCGUAAUGGGCCCUAAUAAGGAACCACCAGCCAAAAAGAAAAAGAAUAGCUAUGAAAACUGCUGUAUAUUUUGUGAUACUUCUCUUACGAAGUCAUGCCCUGAUGAUCCAAUUGUUGCGAAUCCCACCAAACAAGGGUUUGAAACUAUUUUUCAUGCAGCACAACUUCAUCAAGAUUAUGUGGUUAGUAGACUUUCACCUAUUUGGGAUGACAUUCUAAAAGAAGUGGUUAAGAUCAGGUAUCACAAAACUGUAGAGCUAAUUAUACAACAAAAAGAAACAUAGUUUAUGCAAAAAGAAGCACUACUGAAACUGAUAACCAAAUGGAGAGGCUAUCUUGUCUUUCACGACUCAAGAGGUUAAAUACUUCAAAAUUCAAUGCGAGAUCUGACUGCUUUAUCUGUGGAAAGUCAUUUAAGUGGAAAGAAAAACUCAUACCAAUAUCAACUGGUAAGGAGAAUCUACUCGUAACCGUGUGUUAAUGCAGCAAUAGAAAGAGAUGAUGAUGAAAUAAAAAUCCAAAUACUUGCAUAACCUGACAUUUUUGCAAUGGAUGCAAAGUACUACCGUUCUUGUUAUUCUCAUUUUAUUAGUGAGAAUAAUAUCAAGGCAGCUAAAGGGAAAAAGCUGCCAUACAAGAAAAAUUUUACGAGGAUCCAGCUUUCAAUCUUCUGUGUGAGUAAAUUAAAUUAACUGUUGAGUCCACUACACAUACAAUCACAGCACUUUCCUCUCUUAAUGAGCAAUUAUCUAACUGGUAAGGAGCUUGGGAGCAGUAAUAUUUAUUCAAUCAGAAUCUAAAAGUUAAACUGGUUAAUUAUUUUGGUGAAAAACUUUCAUUAAUUUCGCAAUCUUGUUUGCUCUGGGGAUGUUAGUAUUGGUGAAAUCUUACAAAGGGUUGUCCAGUUGCAAAUGAGUGUGGAUGAAUUUGGCAAGUGUGAAGGAUUUUAAUAAUGAUACACUAAUCCUGCUCAAGGCUGCUGGUAUUAUUUGCAAAAUGAUCUCCGGAAUCACAUCCCAGUCACAAGGGUACACCCCAAGUGGAAAAGUAAAUAUUAGUGAGUCUAGCCUUUGUUUCAAAUGCCCUCCAUGAUUUCAUAGUUUGGUGUACAUCAAAGAAAGGUUUUGAUGAGGCAAUCACAAUGCAGAAAGUGAUUUGAGCAACAAUGACCUUAAAAUCCAUGCAAUUUGCCAUGAUUUUAUUUCUUUGGGAUGUAAGGUUGCAAUGUCUAUCUUUCUCACUAGGUAUUAGGAUGCAUCAUGAGCUAGAAGUAGAGAGAUUAUUGAUGACCUGCAUAGUUGCGAACACUCCAUUAGUUAAGAUGACAUUCGUAGAUUCCUCACUUCAGUUGCAGAAGAUCAGCUCUCCUCGCAGGAAGGAAUAUUUGUUCCAAAGGACCUUUCUCCAUUUGACCCAAAAAAUUCUUACAUUACACUUGAUGCAGCAAUUGAUAAUUUUGACAGGAAUGAAGAGACUAUAGAUGGAAAAAAUACUACCCACUCUAUGGCCAUAGAAGUUUAUCAAAGAUCACCAUAAAAUGAACCUGAAAUACCUGACCCUACUUGAAAUGAAUGGAAUGUAUGUAUCAAUGGACUUCAACCUAUUCUGUAUAAAAGUGAAUCUGCUCCAGUAGAAUUGAGGGAAAUUAUCCACUUGUACUGCACAGACAAAUGUUGCAAAGGACAUGUGUCAAUGCAGACAAGCUGGUCUAGAGUGUAUAGAGGUCUGUUCCUGGUUAUCUCAGCAGUGGGAUAAUCCAUUCAAAAAGAAGGAACAAAAGGUUGAGGGUAUUGGAACUGAAAGAGAUUUUGAUGACAAGAUUUAAUGUGAACCAAUGUUAGAAUUUUUAGACCUGUUUCAUGUUUCUGAAAUUAUAUCUCUGCUGAUAAACUUGGGUAAUACUUCAAUACUUCAUUUAUUUAUUAUUAAGUAUUAAAUGUAAGAAUAAUUGUUUUGUUUGAGGAAAAAAAAAACAAAUUACCUCACCUCUUUGCAAAUUCACUAUUUCAUUGAUGAUGUAACUUGUACUCCUUACCUCUGUUAGUCAUUUAGAGUUAACUAUUAUGUUGAUACUUGUAUUUCCAAUCACAUCUGCUAGUCAUUUAGAGUUAGCUAUUAAGUUGAUACUUUUACUAUUUCCAAUCACAUCUGCUAGUCAU